rnacentral:rRNA from 1 species
GAUGAACGCUGGCGGCGUGCCUAAUACAUGCAAGUCGAGCGAACAGACGAGGAGCUUGCUCCUCUGACGUUAGCGGCGGACGGGUGAGUAACACGUGGAUAACCUACCUAUAAGACUGGGAUAACUUCGGGAAACCGGAGCUAAUACCGGAUAAUAUAUUGAACCGCAUGGGUCAAUAGUGAAAGACGGUUUUGCUGUCACUUAUAGAUGGAUCCGCGCCGCAUUAGCAAGUUGGUAAGGUAACGGCUUACCAAGGCAACGAUGCGUAGCCGACCUGAGAGGGUGAUCGGCCACACUGGAACUGAGACACGGUCCAGACUCCUACGGGAGGCAGCAGUAGGGAAUCUUCCGCAAUGGGCGAAAGCUUGACGGAGCAACGCCGCGUGAGUGAUGAAGGUCUUCGGAUCGUAAAACUCUGUUAUUAGGGAAGAACAAAUGUGUAAGUAACUAUGCACGUCUUGACGGUACCUAAUCAGAAAGCCACGGCUAACUACGUG